UACCAGACUCCUACGGGAGGCAGCAGUGGGGGAUAUUGCACAAUGGGGGGAACCCUGAUGCAGCGACGCCGCGUGAGUGAAGAAGUAUUUCGGUAUGUAAAGCUCUAUCAGCAGGAAAGAAAAUGACGGUACCUGACUAAGAAGCCCCGGCUAACUACGUGCCAGCAGCCGCGGUAAUACGUAGGGAGCAAGCGUUGUCCGGAAUUACUGGGCGUAAAGGGCGCGUAGGUGGGCGCUUAAGUCAGGUGUGAAAACUCCGGGCUCAACCUGGAGACUGCACUUGAAACUGGGUGUCUUGAGGGCAGGAGAGGAAAGUGGAAUUCCUAGUGUAGCGGUGAAAUGCGUAGAUAUUAGGAGGAACACCAGUGGCGAAGGCGACUUUCUGGACUGUACCUGACGCUGAGGCGCGAAAGCGUGGGGAGCAAACAGGAUUAGAUACCCUGGUA
rnacentral:rRNA from 1 species